CAGGGUGGCUGUGGGGUGGGAGUCGUCUGCUUAGGGCUUGCAUAUGGGCAACAGUCACGCAGCUGCUUCAAAGCAGGGAAGGCUUUGGAAAUCGUUCGGGCCCUUUCCUCUUUGCCUCUUUGAGAAGAUGGACUUUUCCCUGGUUGGCCCAGGACCUCCAUCUGCCUGGGGGAGGAGGGGGUGGGGAUUAGAGAGGUCUCAGAAUCAGGCAGGGUGGACAAGGUAGUUUCAGCUUGUACCAUGCAAAAUAGGAUGAGGCAGCAGGAAGUUAGCUUUGAAAGGUAGGAUAUGGUCUUGAGGUAGAAUCACAAGUUCUUUACUCCCCUAUCUUCAGUCUUCUUCCACUAACACCUUCACCACAGACUUUGGAAGGAAAACAAGGGCAUUUCAGGGCACCUGGUGAGAAGAAGCAAGACACGCAUCAUUAUUUGUGUCAAAUAAAAUGAGUUCUACGGUCUUGGUCAAUGAGUUUACAGGGGGUUGGCUGCCCUCCUCAAGAACCCUGUAGGGAGAUUAAGCUUUGCUGACCCCAAAACAGCCUCUCCCCUCCCCAUGUUUUCCAAACAAGCACAUGCUUGGAAAAUAGCCAAUAUUACCCAGUGAAACAAUAUGUAUUUAAUAUUUGCUAUUAAUUUCAGAGUGAUACAGAGCAACCCUGAGAAUUUGGAAGCAUCACAGAGGCUUUUAAAUAAGUCUUUGGAGUGCAUUCAACGGUUGAGCAUUCAAAUGUACCCACUGAUUUACAUUUUUUAAAUGAAAUUGUGUUGUAAAAUCAUCUGGAUUGCAGUCACAUAGUGGAGUUAUUGUCCUCCGCGGGGUGAGUACAGGGUUAGACUUGAUUCCUGGAAGUGACUGCAACUUUUCCUUCGAUUGGAGGUUAUUAAGCGCUUUCGUUUUCUUUGCUCUUAAAUGGUUCCUAUUUGCUGUGAAAAUGAAAACAGACGUGGGAUCCGCUCCAGGUCUGAGCAUCUGGAGUCGAGUGAUGAGGAAGCCACUUAGACAUCUCCCCACCCACCUCCCUUUUCUUCACAGGAGGAGUACAUGGGGUGUGAGUGCACAUUUAAGAGAAAAAGAGACGAUUUCUGCUAAAUAUUUGAGAUCCUGCGACUUCCUAUGGUGGAAGAUAAGGAUUCACCCCCUCUAGGCCCGCUCCCCCGGCCGUUGCAAUAAACGCUUCUUGGAGCCUCGCUCCCCCAGUGGAA
rnacentral:lncRNA from 1 species